rnacentral:rRNA from 1 species
AUUGAACGCUGGCGGCAGGCUUAACACAUGCAAGUCGAACGAGUGGCGGACGGGUGAGUAAUGCCUGGGAAUCUAGCUUAUGGAGGGGGAUAACUACGGGAAACUGUAGCUAAUACCGCGUACCAUAGGAUGAGCCCAAGUGGGCUUAGGUAGUUGGUGGGGUAACGGCUCACCAAGCCGACGAUCUCUAGCUGGUCUGAGAGGAUGACCAGCCACACUGGAACGGAGACACGGCCCAGACUCCUACGGGAGGCAGCAGUGGGGAAUAUUUCAUAAUGGGGGCAAGCUGAUGAAGCCAUGCCGCGGGAAUGAAGAAGGCCUUCGGGUUGUAAAGUUCUUUCGGUAGCGAGGCGUUAACAACAGAAGAAGCACCGGCUAACUCCGUGCCAGCCGCCGCGGUAAUAC